rnacentral:rRNA from 1 species
GGUUAAGCGACUAAGCGUACACGGUGGAUGCCCUGGCAGUCAGAGGCGAUGAAGGACGUGCUAAUCUGCGAUAAGCGUCGGUAAGGUGAUAUGAACCGUUAUAACCGGCGAUUUCCGAAUGGGGAAACCCAGUGUGAUUCGUCACACUAUCAUUAACUGAAUCCAUAGGUUAAUGAGGCGAACCGGGGGAACUGAAACAUCUAAGUACCCCGAGGAAAAGAAAUCAACCGAGAUUCCCCCAGUAGCGGCGAGCGAACGGGGAGCAGCCCAGAGCCUGAAUCAGUGUGUGUGUUAGUGGAAGCGUCUGGAAAGGCGUGCGAUACAGGGUGACAGCCCCGUACACAAAAAUGCACAUAUUGUGAGCUCGAUGAGUAGGGCGGGACACGUGGUAUCCUGUCUGAAUAUGGGGGGACCAUCCUCCAAGGCUAAAUACUCCUGACUGACCGAUAGUGAACCAGUACCGUGAGGGAAAGGCGAAAAGAACCCCGGCGAGGGGAGUGAAAAAGAACCUGAAACCGUGUACGUACAAGCAGUGGGAGCACGCUUAGGCGUGUGACUGCGUACCUUUUGUAUAAUGGGUCAGCGACUUAUAUUCUGUAGCAAGGUUAACCGAAUAGGGGAGCCGAAGGGAAACCGAGUCUUAACUGGGCGUUAAGUUGCAGGGUAUAGACCCGAAACCCGGUGAUCUAGCCAUGGGCAGGUUGAAGGUUGGGUAACACUAACUGGAGGACCGAACCGACUAAUGUUGAAAAAUUAGCGGAUGACUUGUGGCUGGGGGUGAAAGGCCAAUCAAACCGGGAGAUAGCUGGUUCUCCCCGAAAGCUAUUUAGGUAGCGCCUCGUGAAUUCAUCUCCGGGGGUAGAGCACUGUUUCGGCAAGGGGGUCAUCCCGACUUACCAACCCGAUGCAAACUGCGAAUACCGGAGAAUGUUAUCACGGGAGACACACGGCGGGUGCUAACGUCCGUCGUGAAGAGGGAAACAACCCAGACCGCCAGCUAAGGUCCCAAAGUCAUGGUUAAGUGGGAAACGAUGUGGGAAGGCCCAGACAGCCAGGAUGUUGGCUUAGAAGCAGCCAUCAUUUAAAGAAAGCGUAAUAGCUCACUGGUCGAGUCGGCCUGCGCGGAAGAUGUAACGGGGCUAAACCAUGCACCGAAGCUGCGGCAGCGACACUAUGUGUUGUUGGGUAGGGGAGCGUUCUGUAAGCCUGUGAAGGUGUACUGUGAGGUAUGCUGGAGGUAUCAGAAGUGCGAAUGCUGACAUAAGUAACGAUAAAGCGGGUGAAAAGCCCGCUCGCCGGAAGACCAAGGGUUCCUGUCCAACGUUAAUCGGGGCAGGGUGAGUCGACUCCUAAGGCGAGGCCGAAAGGCGUAGUCGAUGGGAAACAGGUUAAUAUUCCUGUACUUGGUGUUACUGCGAAGGGGGGACGGAGAAGGCUAUGUUGGCCGGGCGACGGUUGUCCCGGUUUAAGCGUGUAGGCUGGUUUUCCAGGCAAAUCCGGAAAACUAAGGCUGAGGCGUGAUGACGAGGCACUACGGUGCUGAAGCAACAAAUGCCCUGCUUCCAGGAAAAGCCUCUAAGCAUCAGGUAACAUCAAAUCGUACCCCAAACCGACACAGGUGGUCAGGUAGAGAAUACCAAGGCGCUUGAGAGAACUCGGGUGAAGGAACUAGGCAAAAUGGUGCCGUAACUUCGGGAGAAGGCACGCUGAUAUGUAGGUGAAGUCCCUCGCGGAUGGAGCUGAAAUCAGUCGAAGAUACCAGCUGGCUGCAACUGUUUAUUAAAAACACAGCACUGUGCAAACACGAAAGUGGACGUAUACGGUGUGACGCCUGCCCGGUGCCGGAAGGUUAAUUGAUGGGGUCAGCGCAAGCGAAGCUCUUGAUCGAAGCCCCGGUAAACGGCGGCCGUAACUAUAACGGUCCUAAGGUAGCGAAAUUCCUUGUCGGGUAAGUUCCGACCUGCACGAAUGGCGUAAUGAUGGCCAGGCUGUCUCCACCCGAGACUCAGUGAAAUUGAACUCGCUGUGAAGAUGCAGUGUACCCGCGGCAAGACGGAAAGACCCCGUGAACCUUUACUAUAGCUUGACACUGAACAUUGAGCCUUGAUGUGUAGGAUAGGUGGGAGGCUUUGAAGUGUGGACGCCAGUCUGCAUGGAGCCGACCUUGAAAUACCACCCUUUAAUGUUUGAUGUUCUAACGUUGACCCGUAAUCCGGGUUGCGGACAGUGUCUGGUGGGUAGUUUGACUGGGGCGGUCUCCUCCUAAAGAGUAACGGAGGAGCACGAAGGUUGGCUAAUCCUGGUCGGACAUCAGGAGGUUAGUGCAAUGGCAUAAGCCAGCUUGACUGCGAGCGUGACGGCGCGAGCAGGUGCGAAAGCAGGUCAUAGUGAUCCGGUGGUUCUGAAUGGAAGGGCCAUCGCUCAACGGAUAAAAGGUACUCCGGGGAUAACAGGCUGAUACCGCCCAAGAGUUCAUAUCGACGGCGGUGUUUGGCACCUCGAUGUCGGCUCAUCACAUCCUGGGGCUGAAGUAGGUCCCAAGGGUAUGGCUGUUCGCCAUUUAAAGUGGUACGCGAGCUGGGUUUAGAACGUCGUGAGACAGUUCGGUCCCUAUCUGCCGUGGGCGCUGGAGAACUGAGGGGGGCUGCUCCUAGUACGAGAGGACCGGAGUGGACGCAUCACUGGUGUUCGGGUUGUCAUGCCAAUGGCACUGCCCGGUAGCUAAAUGCGGAAGAGAUAAGUGCUGAAAGCAUCUAAGCACGAAACUUGCCCCGAGAUGAGUUCUCCCUGACUCCUUGAGAGUCCUGAAGGAACGUUGAAGACGACGACGUUGAUAGGUCGGGUGUGUAAGCGCAGCGAUGCGUUGAGCUAACCGGUACUAAUGAACCGUGAGGCUUAACCUU